rnacentral:ncRNA from 2 species
UAAUAAUGGAUAGCGCCAGGCUCAGUGAAAACUGAGUGACGAGGAUUGGGUUUAUCGAAAGUUUCGGCGGGUAGCCCAAGGUUUGUGUAGUCUACAGAAUGUCAUUUAAAAGAGAUCGCAUAAGCUGCCUUCUUACAAAGAUGCAUUCCCACACCCAG